rnacentral:misc_RNA from 2 species
CAGAGUCGUAAAACACUCCCAAACCCAUGUGAACUUACCAUUGUUGCCUCGGCGGGCUACCCUGUAGACCGCCGGUGGACCAUUAAACUCUUGUUAUUCUAUGGAUAUCUGAGCGUCUUAUUUAAUAAGUUA